rnacentral:rRNA from 1 species
CCACGGGAGGCAGCAGUGGGGAAUAUUGGACAAUGGGCGAAAGCCUGAUCCAGCCAUGCCGCGUGUGUGAAGAAGGCCUUCGGGUUGUAAAGCACUUUCAGUGGGGAAGAAAGCCUUGGGGCUAAUACCCUCGAGGAAGGACAUCACCCACAGAAGAAGCACCGGCUAACUCCGUGCCAGCAGCCGCGGUAAUACGGAGGGUGCGAGCGUUAAUCGGAAUUACUGGGCGUAAAGCGCGCGUAGGCGGUCUGAUAAGCCGGUUGUGAAAGCCCCGGGCUCAACCUGGGAACGGCAUCCGGAACUGUCAGGCUAGAGUGCAGGAGAGGAAGGUAGAAUUCCCGGUGUAGCGGUGAAAUGCGUAGAGAUCGGGAGGAAUACCAGUGGCGAAGGCGGCCUUCUGGACUGACACUGACGCUGAGGUGCGAAAGCGUGGGUAGCAAACAGGAUUAGAUACCCGAGUAGUC